ACACAUGCAAGUCUCCGCACAC
rnacentral:tRNA from 1 species